UUUACAGACUGAUUACAGACUGGUUAUUUUUACAGACUGUUUACAGACUGGUCGUGUUUACAGACUGAUUACAGACUGGUUAUUUUUACAGACUGUUUACAGACUGGUCGUGUUUACAGACUGAUUACAGACUGGUCGUGUUUACAGACUGAUUACAGACUGGUCAUGUUUACAGACUGAUUACAGACUGGUUGUGUUUACAGACUGAUUACAGACUGGUCAUGUUUACAGACUGAUUACAGACUGGUCGUGUUUACAGACUGAUUACAGACUGGUCGUGUUUACAGACAUUCCAGGACAUUUUUACAGACUGAUUACAGACUGGUUAUUUGUACAGACUGAUUACAGACUGGUCAUGUUUACAGACUGAUUACAGACUGGUCAUGUUUACAGACUGAUUACAGACUGGUCAUGUUUACAGACUGAUUACAGACUGGUUAAUUUUACAGACUGAUUACAGACUGGUCAUGUUUACAGACUGAUUACAGACUGGUCGUGUUUGGACGAACU